CCAUCUCCAGCAGGCCUCGACUCCACUCCAGCAGGUUAAGGCCCCCGACCAGGUCGACCCCGCUGCCCCCUUCUUCUCUCUGUCAGUGCGUGUUUCUCCUCCUCCUCUCUCUAAUAUUCUCUUUCUCUCCUGUUGCAAUCAGGAGCAGCCAUGGAGGCGCCGAGGUCCUUCAAGCCGUGCCUCGAUCUAUGGCUCCCGGUUGCCGGAGUCGUCAUCUAGCUCGGAAAUGGGACCCCCUUGACCGGAUCUUUCCAGCCCGCUGACGAGAGCCCCGUCGGAGCCGCCCCUCCAGCCGCCCGCGCUGUCAUCCGUUCGUCCCUGACGAACUGAACUGCUGCAGGUUGUGCGUGUGUGCUUUUUCUUUGUUUCCUGUAGAACGUCCGAAGGUUUUCUUAUAGAAAGCCUCGAUAUUGCUUUCUUUCACCAGCAGCUUGCUAGCUGAGAUGGUUAGAGCGGCCAACUAUCACGCUAGAGAUCUCUGGUUCAAGUCCCAUGCGUGACACAUUUCUUUGGCACUGUUAUUUUUAUUGUGCUUCACUUCUGCACUAUGUGGUUUAGCUAGUUCUUCUGUAUGAACACUAUAUAUUGUCAGUCUCAAGGCCGUAGCCCACUGGAUGGUGUCAACCGAUUCCAUCCCAGAGAUCUGGGGUUCGAAUCCCAGCUAUGCCCAUUUAUUUUUUUAUGCUUGUUUCCAUUGACCUGCACCAUGGCAUAAUUCAUCUAGUUUAAAACACUUAUUUAUAUCAAGCCUAGUGUGUAGCCGAUCUGGCUAGUGCAUUUAGUCUCCACCCAAGGGUUCCUGGGUCCAAGUCCCAUGUAGCUCACAUUUUGACAUGCUUUCUUUUCCUCUUUUGCCUCACACACACUUAGUUCCCUCGGCCGCCGCACUACGUUGCAAUCGACCUUUGUUCCUUUUUUUUCCCUCAUGCGAUUCCAUCUUUAGCCUAGACAUGCAUGUUUGUAUGAGUGGUGAUGUUGUAAAUUUGUAGAAGCCACGCUAGUUGCACGUUGUCUCUCUUUCGACGUGCCCUCGAGACAUGGGGACCCGAUACCGGGAUCACCCCAUCGUUCUUUGGCAUGACCCGCACGCGUCCCAGCACAUUGGCACGAUUGCUGUGCUCGUCAAGUUAUCGGGAUAGGAACAUUGCCGUGGCAUCGUUUCCGUUUUGCCGCCAUGGUUCCCUUUCGUUCGCCAUGGCGACACAAGUUUCUUUCUCUUCUUGCCCGUGAUGUUUGAACUCGCCUGCAUGACGCAUUCAUGGCAUAUUUAUUUUGUGUUGCUUGUUCUUGUGCUGUAGCUCCAUUCAAAGUCCGACGUGCUGUCGACUAGGAUGACUUGUAGGUUCAUCGCUCACCCCUUGCCAUGUUAACAACAUUUAAUAUUGCCGUGAAAAUUAACGGGAGUUAAUUAAAUAUUUAAACGUGGAGUUUCGUCGAUAUGCAACCCGUUGCAUAUCGAGCUUCACUUAAUGUGUAGAGUUUGCGUGAGAUGAACUGCCAUGCCAUCCCGUGCAUCGAUGACCUGUUCAUGCGUCAUAUUAGGGUUGCAUCAUGUCUUGCUUUGUGGUGGUGAAUACUUGUGUUGAUGUUUGUUUCCGGUUUCCUCCGUCUCGAUAGAGUUCCGCAAGCGUGUCGGAAUGUGAGGACCCGUUCGACUAC
rnacentral:lncRNA from 1 species